rnacentral:rRNA from 1 species
AUUGAACGCUGGCGGCAGGCCUACCACAUGCAAGUCGAACGAGUGGCGGACGGGUGAGUGAUGUCUGGGCAACUGCCCGAUGGAGGGGGAUAACUACUGGAAACGGUAGCUAAUACCGCAUACCAUCGGAUGUGCCCAGAUGGGAUUAGCUAGUAGGUGGGGUAACGGCUCACCUAGGAGACGAUCCCUAGCUGGUCUGAGAGGAUGACGAGCGCCACUGGAGUGUAGACGAGGCACAGAGUCCUAUGGGAGGUAGCGGUGGGGAAAUUUGCACGAUGGGCGCAAGCCUGAUGGAGCCAUGCCGCGUGUAUGAAGAAGGCCUUCGGGUUGUAAAGUACUUGCAGCUGGGGCACGUUACCCGCAGAAGAAGCACCGGCUGACGCCGUGACAGCAGCCGCGGUAAUUC